CCUGCAUAGAUAAGUACAUGGUGUUUACCAUAAUUUACAUUUGUCUUUAUAGUACUCCUCCUAAAUGUUUAUUGUUGAGUGUCUCAUUUCCAGCAUAUUAGUAGAGGAGCAUGCAAGUUUGGAUAGCUAAGUUUGUUGAUGGGAUUCAUUGUGCUGGUUAAAGUCAUAAUAUAUCAGCAGGUAUGGCAUGGGAUUCAUUGUUCUGGUAAGAUGAGAGUAGAUCAUUGUAUACAUUUCACCAUAUUGGAUUAUUUUGUGCCGAAUUCGUUAGUCAGGUACCUUCUUUCUCUUAAGCCAUCUUCAUCUACGUGUUUUAUAUAUUUACAACUUCCAAUUUAAUAGUAGAGAUUUAAUCUCAAUACUUGCUUGCAUGGUGUAAGAAUGUAGAAGUAUGUUUUAUUUUGGCUCCUACCUGUAGUCUACAACUGGGUGUUCCAAGAAUUUGUUUUUCACAUGGCCUUCUUUUCUACCUCUUCAUGGGCGAUCCUCAUUAUUUGUUCCUUGAUUCUCUAUGCAAGAAUCUUGCCUCAUGGUCGAAAACAUAUGGUCACAUAUUUUCUCCAGGGGAUUAAUUUUAGUCAGAGCCGGUCGAUAAAUGAUCGGCCAAUUAGUAUAAUUUUCUAGCUUAAUACAUGUCAUGUAAGUAUGUUUUCCUUAAUGUGAUAGGUAAUGUAAAUUUUGUGGGUCUCUCAGUUGCUAUGAGCCUACUACAGUUAAUUGGAAAGCAUGAUUCCGAUGGAAAUGCAACAGAAACAGAACCUGAAAUAUUAGUUAAUUGGAUAGCAUGGUCCCGACGGAAAUGCAAAUGAAACAGAACCUGGAAUAAUAAUUAAAAUUGGAUAGCAUGAUUCCGAUGGAAAUGCAAAAGAAACAGAACCAAUAAUAAGAUAGAUAAGAUGUGACUGACACUGGAGUAGGGAGCACACGACGGCCGUCGUUCGCGCGGCCGACACCGACACUGGUGUAGACAGUAGGCCACUGAAGAUCAUGUUGGCGAUGUAGUAUUUCCAUGAGCAUGCAUCAAAUAUCAAAUCUCUUUACCAGUCUCUUCCGUUGUCCACAUGGCUCCCCUUUUUAUGUACCACCACCUCAACUUGGUAGGACUUGAGAUUUACUUUGGUGUCUACCCCGUGCAGGAGAUGACUUUGUCGUACCUGACGUGCGGAAAUGCGAUGGUGUCUACCUUGAAGCUUGAAGAGUUCAUGAGGAAGUCUUGCUAGCAUCUAGAGUUGGAUGCCCUCAUGAAGACUACUGUCAGUCAAUUUUCAUGACUGUUCACACCGUUGAUGUUGUGAGGACUGGCAGCUCUUCAGUUCACACCGCCAAUGUUGUGAGGAGUGGCAGGACUUCAAUGGGCAUGGAGGCUGCAACCUAGGGCGAGGGCGUGGUGCGUUGAGAUGGCGGAGCUGCGUUGGUGGGAGGCGGCGAUGGCGGCGGCAACGCCAAUGUCCACAGGGAUCUCUUAGCCGCAACAGAUCGAAGAACAACUUGGGGAUGUCGUGCAGCUCCUGCGUGUAGUAGAUAAAUUGCCGCCCAGAUAAAUCACCGGGACACUACCAAGUGUGUCGUUCAUUGGGCCAGGAUAAAAAAUCUUGAGGGUGCCUCAUGUGCGACUCUAGCUAUUGAAAGUCAAAGAACUUGACUACUUCCGGAGUUUGAUAAGGCUUUAUAGUGAGUUCUCAUACUUUUACUGCUGUUGUUAUUAAGCAGAUUUUGUCAAAGCAAUUGCUAUGUGUAUGCCAUUUUCAUGUUCUAUACGUGGCUGUUUUUCUA